UACGAAGGGGGCUAGCGUUGCUCGGAAUCACUGGGCGUAAAGCGCACGUAGGCGGAUCUUUAAGUCGGAGGUGAAAUCUGGAGCUCAACUCCAGAACUGCCUUCGAUACUGAGGAUCUCGAGUCCGGGAGAGGUGAGUGGAACUGCGAGUGUAGAGGUGAAAUUCGUAGAUAUUCGCAAGAACACCAGUGGGCGAAGGCGGCUCACUGGCCCGGUACUGA
rnacentral:rRNA from 1 species